rnacentral:rRNA from 1 species
CCAUGAUCGAGUCCGACCGACCGGUCAUCGAAUCCAGACGUUAGAGCAUCUACAACCGGACCCCUCAAAUCUUCGUCAAACGUCAACCACUACAUAUGUCUUAUGCACGAACAAAUCAGGACUUGAAGUGGACACGGACAUAUAGCGGGUCAAAUUAGCCCACUCCAAUUGUAGAUACCUUUACAUACUAAGUUACCGACCGAAGCGAUUGGCUAUACAUGCACCAGCACACAUGAUCGACAUGGAGAAGUUCCCGAAAAGCCCACAGAUAUUUCAUGGGAGAUCUUCCCAGAUCUAGCUUUUGUGCUACUCAAAAUGCUCUCUCCGGCUCAAUAUCUGUGCCGCUCAACAUUGUCGAAUAGAUUGGUUCAUGGACCACCAUGAAAUUUCCGGCAGCCUAUAUAGCCAGCAAAAAAAAACUGAAAUAAAUAAAUUCGAGUGAUUAGUUCCACUACUGUGGACCAUUGGUUCUUUGGGCUACUUCCUACGUAGAUUACACAAGAUAAUCAUAUCGCAGGCAAACGCAAGUAUGGUUAAUCUCAGGAACAUAUGAACGUACUUGCAUUUCAUCAGGGGCUGCCUUGCGAGUUGUGACUCGUGAGACGCUUGUUGCAUGCAGCUAUGGAUAGAUAGCUCUCACCCGUUUGGAACAGAAUUCACGCAGCAACUGAGGCGAAUGGCAGGGCAAUUCUCCUUUGGCACGCACGGCUUGCUAGCAAGCUGCACCGCAUGCUCACCAGGCUACCACCAUCAUAUGUACAUGCAUGCCACCGUGCCAAGGGAGAAGCGCCCUGUGAUUCACACACGUCGGUCAAAUUUGCCAUGCCUUGCUAUAAGCCAAAGCUCUUUUGCCUCCUAUCAACUAUAUUUUUUGCUAAUGCUUGCUCUAUGUUUUGAAGUUCUU